UUCAACACCACCACCACUAUCAUCUUCUAUCAUCUUCGGUACAACCACCAUCACUACUUAUAAAUGUAACAUGGGUUUUGUUUUUCAUAUACCCUGAAGGGAGGGAAAAGGAAAAAAAAUGGUUGAUUUGGAUAUUUGGUAUGAGCAGAGUCGGAAAUGGGAGUUUCAUAGACAUUCACCACCUCACAAAUGUAUAUUUGCAUUGCAUUUGGAUUACCAGAAAAAUAUGGAUUUCAGUCACCGAAACUCCUAUUAUGCAUAUAUAUCAAACCCGAUGUGAUUGAGAAGCCAGAGUUAAUUAUGUCAUAAGAGGUGUAUACAAGUCUGCAAAUGGCCGAGAAACCAAAUAGAGAGAGCAUUGAAACUGCCUGGUCUCUUUGAAGAACUCACUGAUCUUAUCAGAUUUCAGAAUAAGAGGAAAAAUGAAAUUGCACUUUGGAGGGCACAUGAUAAAGAUAUGCGGGAGCUGUAUGAAUAUCAAGCAGCUUCUGUGGAAAUUGGUGCGGCUGCUUCCAAUGCUGGAGUGCGCACAAGGAUGACUGCUGCUUCAAGCCACUGCACUUUCAGGUGAUAACUGAAGACACAUAAUAACAUGGACAUGCAACAGACUCAAAAUUACCUUACAAUGGUUCUUCCUGAAAUUGCGGUGCUGAAAGAAGCAAAUGAACGGAGAUCUAAUUCUCGUUGAAAAGGCACAAGGACAGUGCUUGUGAUGCUGAUGAUAUAAUAGAUGAAUUGUCGUACGGAACCUCUCCUUGCACCAAUUGAAACAGCUUGAACUAGUAGUGGUUUUGCCUGAUCCUCCAAUUUCGUUUAAAGCCGGCUAAAUAAUUUGCAGAUUUUUAAAGUUAUCUGAUUGCCAUAAUGACUUCUCCACUCAUCAACCGUCACAACGGUUUGUAUGCUCUUGGCAGGAAAGGUUGAAGAAAAUCCUAGGCCACUGAAGGAUGUUAUUGUGGUUUCCUACAAAAUUAUUAACAAAAAGGACCCUGCGGCUGCCAAGAAAAUCAAGCAGAAGGCUGGUGAAGCUUUAUACUUGAUUGUUUGUCAUUCUAUCAGAUAUCAACUCAUUUAGCCUCACUUUUCUUGAAUGCUGGCACUAAACUUCUACACGUCUGUGCUCCCAAUGGUUCCAGUCUGUCUUUUGAAUACAUAUACAUAACUCGUCCUACCGUAAAUUGCACAUAUGAGCCCCAGCUCUCAUUGAAUUUAUUUGAAAUCACUAAUCAGACAUAGGAAUAUGUGUUUCCACAGAACAAAGCCAAUUUAAUAAUAUCAGUUGCCUGGUUCUUUGUGUAAAAUUUUCAAACCCAAGAAAAGUUCACAAAAAGAAAGGAUAUGAUUUGCCUCCUUCACCAUUGCCUGAUUCUGCCACUUCAUUAAGCUUUGUUCUCCCUUAGUAAAAGUUAUUAUUCUCCUACAGGCACGACCUUGAAGAUGCUUGGCCUGAUGAAGACGUAGAAGAAGAUGGAGAAGAAGAGAAAAAAAGUGAAAUUAGACUUUCUCCAAUUUGUGGUUAUUCUAGACAUCCAAUGCUCUUCCGUACUUUAUUGUAGAAUAUGCGAUAGCGAACUCAG